GAAAACAGUGUGGGGCAAAGAACAGGACUAGGCUUUGAAACCCACAGUGGGUGUUGGCAAAAGUCACCUUUGUUUCAGCUUCAGUUUGAAUUUAGGCACCUACUUUUGAUUUUUAUUUUAGAGAAAAAAUUUAAAUUUAUUUUUAAAAGUACAUACAAUAAAAUAUACUCUUUUGACAUACAAUUCUAAGAAUUUUCACAAGCAGAAUCAUGUUACUACCACCACAAUAAAGGCACAGAACAGUUUCUUCCUCAGUCCGUCCCAAAAUUAUCUGGGGUGCGACCCCUUUGGAGUCAAAGCCUCCCUGAAUCCUUAACCUCUGGUAACCAUGAAUCUAUUCUCCAUCACUAUAGUUUUGCCUUUUCCAGAAUGCUGUAAGUGGAGUCAUACAAUAUUUAGCCUUUCAGUCUGGCUUCUUUCUCUUAGCAGAAUGCAUAUGAGAUCUCUGUUGGGUUUACCAGCGCGCUGCUCAUCCCUUUUUAUUGCUGAGAAGUAUUCCAUCAUGUGGAUGUACUACUGUUUGUUUAUCCAUUUUCCAGUGGGGUUGUUUCUGAUUAUGAAUAAAGGUGCUAUAAACA
rnacentral:lncRNA from 10 species